GAUGAACGCUGGCGGCGUGCCUAAUACAUGCAAGUCGAGCGAACAGACGAGGAUCUUGCUCCUCUGACGUUAGCGGCGGACGGGUGAGUAACACGUUGAUAACCUCCCUAUAAUACUGGGAUCACUUCGGGAAACCGGAGCUAAUACCGGAUAAUAUCUUGAACCGCAUUGUUCACUAGUUAAUGACGGUUUUGCUGUAUCUUCUAGAUGCAUCCGUGCCUCAUUAGCUAGUUGGGACGGUAACGGCUUACCAAGGCAACGAUGCGUAGCCGACCUGCGAGGGUGAUAGGCCACACGGGAACGGAGACAGGGUCCAGACGCCUACGGGAGGCAGCAGAAGGGAAUGUGACGCAAGGGGAGAAAGCCUGACGGAGCAGGGGGGCGUGAGUGAUGAAGGUGUUCGGAGCGGAAAAAUCGGUUAUGAGGGAAGAACAAAUGUGUAAGUAAAUAUACACGUCGUGACGGUAAUUAAUCAGAAAGCCACGGCUAACUACGUG
rnacentral:rRNA from 1 species